CGAAAGUCAAGAGAAGGAACUUACCUUGUCCAGCGAAGUGAAGGGAAAUCUGCAUUUUCUGGCGAAUGAAGGGAAAUCUGCAUUUUCCCAUGAAUGAAGGGAAUGCAUUUUCCGGUGAAGUGAAAUGAAGUCUCCGGUGAAGGGAUUUCAGAUCUGAAAAAGUUCCAGAACCUCUUCCUUAGUCUCUUCCUUAGUCUCCUACAGGGAUUCAACUUAACAAUGGGCCAAAAUCCAACCGAGGGAAUUGGUAUCUCUGGUUUUGCAAGAACCUUCGCUGGUUUGGAGAUAGGCCGCCUGAGAGUUGAGAAGAAGCAGUCACCGGAGAAGACAGUCAUUGGUAAGUUGAACUCAAUAAGGGAAAAAUCGGUAUUAAAUGAAAAAUAGAUCCACUUAAUGGACUGACCCUCAAAGUGUUAGUUUUCGUGGAUUUAAAUAUAAUAAAUAAAACUCAAGGGGGAGGAUAUAUUAAAGGCAAACGCGAAGAGAGGGGGAUGUAAAUUUCUCUUCUUCCAAUGAACACUUUUCCCCCCACUCCACUCCCUGCAACCCGAUCAUUAUAGUGGUAGAUUGUCAAGAGGGUAGUGUUUGAUGUUCUACCAUUGUUGCUUCAAUUCUAUAAUGUAAACAAUUGCUCCCAA